AACUGUUGCUGCUGUUGAUGAUGAUGAUGAUGAUGGUAACAAUAUGGCCGUUGGCGUUUAUAUCUGAUUAUUAUUAUUAUUUUGUGUAAAUGUGGAAAUUACCAUCAUCAUUUUGAUGAUUAUGAUUAUGAUGAUGAUGAUGAUGAUGAAAAGUGAGUGUUUGAGAGAGUCCUACAUAUAAAUAAAUUUUAUAUAGAAAGCGGUAGAGAGAGUCUGAAUAAAUGAAGAAAAGAAGAAAAAAAAAAUAUAUUCAGCCAUGUCCAUGACAACAGCAACAGUGAUGACGACGAUCGCGACCUGACUGACCCAAAUUUUUUUCGGUUUGGUUUGGUUUGGUUUGAAAAUACACACACACACACACACGCCAAGCAUCAUUGUUUAUUUCUACCCGAAAUGUUAUUUGGCUUAUGUCUCAACUGAAUGAAAUGAAAUGAAUGACCUAUCGAAAUCGAUUGACCAACUGACCAUUUAAAGAAUAUAAUGGCUUAACUUGUUGCUGUUGCUGCUGCUGUGGUUAUUGUUGCUGGCUAAUUCGGUUUCAUUCAACAAUUUGGUUUUUUUUUCUUCUCCGAAAUUAUCUUUCAAUGGAUGUUUGACAUGCUCAAUUUUCACUAUUUGAAAUUAUCGUUAUUUUUUUUCUUCUUUUCUUAUGUAUAAGAAAAAUGAAAUGAAAUGAGAUCCAAACCAAGCGAAUACAUCAGCAGCAAAAAAAAAAAAAAAAAUAAAAUAAAAAUUAUGUAUUGGCAACAGGUAGGCAGCAGAAAUUUUCAAUUAUAACAAGACAACCAACGCUGAAGACGAAUACGACGAUGAUGAUGAUUAUUAUUAUCAUAAUCACAUCGAAAUACACACACACAGACAACCAGUCCAGUAAAAGGUAGGUUGGCAUCAUCAUCAUCAUCAUCAUCAUCAUAUGUGAAUAAAGGCAACGAAAAGAAAAAAAAAAUGGGAAUGAUUAUCGUCGUUAUGGUAAUUGUAUGAAUUGUUUGUCGACUACUACUACUAUAUAGACAGCGAUAUAUUUAGAUCAUCAUCAUCAUCAUCAUCAUCAUGAUCAUGAACAUAAUCAUGACCAUUUAGGUAGAUAUCGUUUUUGAACAAAUGAAGAAAAAAAAAGUGAUUCAGCCCUUUCACUAUCAUCAUCAUCAAAUAAAUAAAUAAAU